UACGGGGGGGGCAAGCGUUGUUCGGAAUUACUGGGCGUAAAGGGUGCGUAGGCGGCGCAGUAAGUCGGGUGUGAAAUCUCGGAGCCUAACUCCGAAACUGCAUUCGAUACUGCCGUGCUUGAGGACUGGAGAGGAGACUGGAAUUUACGGUGUAGCGGUGAAAUGCGUAGAUAUCGUAAGGAAGACCAGUGGCGAAGGCGGGUCUCUGGACAGUUCCUGACGCUGAGGCACGAAGGCCAGGGGAGCAAACGGG
rnacentral:rRNA from 1 species